ensembl:lncRNA novel transcript
CUUGUGCAAGCGCAGGCCUCCAAAGGGUUUGGGCUUCUUGCCCAACCGCCGCGCUUAUCUCCGAGUCUGCCCCCAGUCUGCCCUCUCGCAGGCCGAGAAAGGACCAGAACACGUUGGGACGAAGACAACCUCAGGGAGAGGGACAAAGAGGCAGAGACCGGGACGGAGACUGGGACGGAGGUAGAAACUGAGAAAGGGAGAGUGCCAGGGACGGCUUUGCAUCCUCUCCGCUGCUCCCAUGCCCUCCAGUCCUGCCAAAAGGGAGGAGGAAAGGUCGAGCCCUAAUCCCCCAGGGCACCUCUCCCACGCCCGGAAGGGUGGCUGGACCCUGGCAACCAGUUUAGUGUGGGGACGGAAGCUGGACAUCCAGAAUUGAGACUUGGCCUGGGCAACAAGCGCAGAGGCCCAGCAGAGGGGUACCCGUCUGUUUCUCCCCACUUCCAUCCCCAAGGGCCCGGCCUAGGUUCCUUCGAGGGAUGAAGGUCCGCAAGGCACAUCCCUACUUCCAAACCAAGGUUUGGGGCUGCCUUUUUGGGACAGGCGGACGCCCUGCAAGCUCAGUGACCAAGCAAGCAGCUGUUUCAUUCAUGGGAGAAGCCGCCCCUUCUCCCCAACUCCCACCCUAAAAUUUCAGGGGGGAUGCCGGGGAGGCCUGAAGAGGAAUGGCCCUUCUCUCCUUCGCUAAUCUUGCCGGAACCCCGGUCCUGGAGCCUGUCUCCCAGGGGCGGAGGCACUUCCCUCUCUGAGCAGGACCAGUGUUUGGGUGUGGGGGGGGGGUGUUUGUGUGUGUGUGUGUGUGUGUGUGUGUGUGUGUGUGUGUGUGUGUGUGUGUGUAUGUGUUGGGGGUGGCGGGGGCGCUGGCCGGCUGUGUUUUCCUGUUUGUAUGAGAGGAAGUUGGCUGUGAGUCAGCAGACACAGGAACUGUCAGUAGCUAGGGGAAGACCCCUGCCUCAGGGGAAGAAGAGGGGAGUGGGAGGAAGUGGUUCCCACCUCUUCCAGCUGCCUCAGCUAGGGGAGGGACUGUCAUCUUCAACCUACUGGAGCCCCACUUUCCCGGCCUUCCCUUUGAGAAAGAGAAUUAUAGUAAUAAAAUAAUAAUUGCAAUAGCCAUAA